rnacentral:rRNA from 1 species
AGAGUUUGAUCCUGGCUCAGAACGAACGUUGGCGGCGUGGAUUAGGCAUGCAAGUCGAGCGGGAUUAGCUUUAUUCAAUUCUUCGGAAGAGAAAAUUGCUAUGAGAGCGGCGAACGGGUGAGUAAUAUAUGGGUAAUUUGCCUCUUUGUUCGGGAUAGCCAUCGGAAACGAUGAUUAAUACCGGAUGUGAUCGGUCACUGCAUAGUGACCUCUUUAAAGGUGGGGAAUCUUCGGAUCCUAUCGCAAAGAGAUAAGCCCAUACCCUAUCAGCUAGUUGGUGAGGUAAUGGCUCACCAAGGCUUACGGGUAGCUGGUCUGAGAGGAUGGUCAGCCACACUGGGACUGAGACACUGCCCAGACUCCUACGGGAGGCUGCAGUCGAGAAUCAUUGACAAUGUACGAAAGUAUGAUCAUGCGACGCCGCGUGGAGGAAGACGGCCUUCGGGUUGUAAACUCCUGUCAGCAGGGAGGAAAGGCAGCACUACUAAUAUCAGUGUUGUUUGACAGUACCUGCAGAGGAAGUCACGGCUAACUCUGUGCCAGCAGCCGCGGUAAUACAGAGGUGGCGAACGUUGUUCGGAUUUACUGGGCGUAAAGGGUCCGCAGGCGGUCCGGUGUGUCGGAUGUGAAAGCCCACGGCUUAACCGUGGAAUUGCAUUCGAAACUACCGGACUAGAGUACUGGAGGGGAGAAGGGAACACUUGGUGUAGCGGUGAAAUGCGUAG